UGGUGAGGCCUUAGUAUAAAGAACUAAUGGGUCAAUCUGCAGCACCAGAGCACGUGCUUGCGCAUAACUGGGGCCACCUGGCACCCCCGCCGGCAGCCCUUUUGACCACAAGCUACAAUA
ensembl:snoRNA